CAGAUAUCCAAAAUACGCUGAUCAAUGUGUGAUUUUUUUUUCUCACAGAAAUGUAGCAUGAACUUGAUGUCAAAAGCAUUUUUCUCAUCCUGGUUAAAUUAAAAUCACGGGUAGCGCCUUUAUGGUUUAGCUACCUUUAAAACAAAUUAGCUUAAAGUUUAACUAGCUCUAAAAUCAACUACUUCAAGUUUAGUUAGCUUUAACAUAAACAAUCUUCAAGUUUAGCGAGCUGUAAAAUAAAUAGCUUAAAAUUUAGCUAGCUGUAAAAUAAUCUAGCUUCAAGUUUAACUAGCUUUAAUAAUAACUAGCUUAAAGUUUAGGUAACUUUAAUAUAAACUAGCUUAAAGUUUAGCUAGCUGUAAAACAAACUAGCUUAAAGUUUAGCUAGCUUCAAAAUAACUACGUUAAAGUGUAGCUAGCUGUAAAAUAAACUAGCUUAAAGUUUAGCUAGCUUUAAAAUAAACUAGUUUAAAGUUUAGCUAGCUUUAAUAUAAACUAGCUUAAAGUUUAGCUAGCUACAAAAUAAACUAGCUCAAAGUUUAGCUAGCUGUAAAAUAAACUCGCUUAAAAUUUAGCUAGCUUCAAGUUUAGCUUGCUUUAAAAUAACUAUCUUAAAGCUUAGCUAGCUGUAACAUAAAUAGCUUAAAUUUUAGCUAGCUGCAAAAUAAACUAGCUUAAAGUUAAGCUAGCUUUAAUAUAAACUAGCUUAAAGUUUAGCUAGCUGUAAAAUAAACUAGCUUAAAGUUUAGCUAGCGUUAAUAUAAACUAGCUUAAAGUUUAGCCAGCUGUAAAAUAACCUAGCUUAAAGUUUAGCUAGCUUUAAAAUAACUAGCUUAAAGUUUACCUAGCUCUAAAAUAAGCUCGCUUAAAGUUUAGCUAACUGUAAAGUGAAUUAGCUUAAAGUUUAGCUAGCUUCAAAAUAAGUAGCUUAAAGUUUAGCUAGCUUUAAUAUGAACUAGUUUAAGUUUAGCUAGCUGUAAAAUAACCUAGCUUAAAGUUUAGCUAGCUUUAAAAUAACUAGCUUAAAGUUUACCUAGCUCUAAAAUAAGCUUGCUUAAAGUUUAGCUAGAUUUAAAUUAAACUAGCUUACAAUUUAGCUAGCUUUAACAUAAACUAGCUUAAAGUUUAGCUAGCUUUUAAAAUGAAUUAGCUUAAAGUGUAGCUAGCUGUAAAAUAAACUCGCUUAAAGUUUCACUAGCUUAAAAAAAACUAGCAUAAAGUUUAGCUAGCUUUCAAAUGAAUUAGCUUAAAGUGUAGCUAGAUUUAAAUUAAACUAGCUUACAAUUUAGCUAGCUGUAAAAUAAACUAGCUUAAAGUUUAGCUAGCUUCAAAAUAACUAGCUUAAAGUUUAACUGGCUGUAAAAUAAACUAGCUUAAAGUUUAGCUAGCUUUAAUAUAAACUAGAUUAAAGUUUAGCUAGCUGCAAAAUAACUAGCUUAAAGUUUAACUGGCUGUAAAAUAAACUAGCUUAAAGUUUAGCUAGCUUUAAUAUAAACUAGAUUAAAGUUUAGCCAGCUGCAAAAUAAACUAGCUUAAGGUUUAGCUAGCUUCAAAAUACCUAGCUUAAAGUUUAGCUAGCUUUAACAUAAACUAGCUUAAAGUUUAGCUAGCUGUAAAAUCAACUAGCUUAAAGUUUAGCUAGCUGUAAAAUCAACUAGCUUAAAGUUUAGCUAGCUUCAAAAUAACUAGCUUAAAGUUUAUCUGGCUGUAAAAUAAACUAGCUUAAAGUUUAGCUAGCUUUAAUAUAAACUAGAUUAAAGUUUAGCCAGCUGCAAAAUAAACUAGCUUAAGGUUUAGCUAGCUUCAAAAUACCUAGCUUAAAGUUUAGCUAGCUUUAACAUAAACUAGCUUAAAGUUUAGCUAGCUGUAAAAUCAACUAGCUUAAAGUUUAGCUAGCUGUAAAAUCAACUAGCUUAAAGUUUAGCUAGCUGUAAAAUAAACUUGCUUAAAGUUUAGCUAGCUGUAAAAUAAACUAGCUUAAGGUUUAGCUAGCUUCACAAUACCUAGCUUAAAGUUUAGCUAGCUUUAACAUAAACUAGCUUAAAGUUUAGCUAGCUGUAAAAUAAACUAGCUUAAAGUUUAGCUAGCUGUAAAAUACACUAGCUUAAAGUUUAGCUAGCUUUUUAAAAAUCUGUUGUUAUGGUCUAACGUUGAGUUGUUACAUAAAGAUUUUAACCAUGAGGCGAUGAGUCACAGCAGUACGAUAAUAAAAUGGAAAUCUAAAAAAAAAAAUAAUUAGGAAAUGAAUUUUGUAAAUAUAUAAACGAAUAAUAGCAACUAUUAAAUUUGUAAAAAAAAAAAAAAAAUGAGGGAACAAAAUUGUGAAAAGCAAUAGAAAUAAGUAAAAGAGUCAGUAAACAUAAAUCUGGUAAAUAUAAACAUAAAUAAAUUAACUUUGUCUUCGCUUUUCCGUGUUGCUUUUGUUGAUGUACUGAGCUGUCAAUCAAAUGCCUGUGGGCGGGGCUUCCUGUGCAGGGUGAGUAGUAGAUCCCUGAUAGCAGGAUUGCUGCUUGGCGUUCGCUCCCUGCUGAGAGGAGCUCAGCUCUCAGUCUGAGGCUCUGAUGAGACUCUGAGCAGGAUCUGUCAGUCUGGACUCUGGGGCCAGACGCAGAGGACGACGUGACGGGCUGGAGGAGCAACACACACACACACACACACACACACACACACACACACACACACACACACACACACACCCCUCACUGCGGUCAAGCCAGCCACACGUUGCUUAGCGGUGUGCAGAUACACUGAGCAUUACAGUAACACCAUCAGACUCGGUCCAGCAGGACGAGCUCAUGAAAAAUAUUGGUUUUACUGCACUUUAAAUUCAGCUGAAUAUUUGUUGUUGUUGUUUUUUUAAUAUCUCUCAGGGAUUUUGACCAUAAAUUAGUGUAAAAGUACCCAGGAAUUAAUCUUCACAGUAUUUGUUCCUGUAGUAUUUGACACAGUCAGUCCAGGAGUAAUAUUUGGGUGUUUUCCUCCCGGGUGAUUUGACCUGUAGUCUCUGAAUCUCUGGUGUAUCACAGGGCUGCAGUGGCAGGUUCACACACCUCCCUGUGUGUUAACCAUCAUCAUUAUCAAUAUUUCUAUUUCUACCAACAUUACAGAGCAUCAGUAUUGAUGAAGCAUCCACUGGUUUACUUCCUGUUCAGUUUCCUCUCUUCAGCAGUGCUGUAGAUCUGUGGUCUGUUACUUUAUUUAAAUGAAGUCAGUUGUCUUCGGUGCUGCUUGACUUUUAUUUUGAAAUCUUUGAAGUCUUCAUGGUGUUACCGUCAUGCUCAGUGUGUUUGCACACCGCUGAUCAAGGUGCGGCUGGCUUGACUGCGUGUUCAGAAGUGUAGUCUGGCUGGACCGCAGUGACAGUCACACUCCAGCCUGUUAUCAGAGAAUGUCCUGAUAUAAUUCUGUUUUUAAAUCUUAUUGCUGUUACUUGUCAGCAUGAUGGACAGACUGCAGCAGGUGAUGGAGAGAGAGGCGUGAGCUGAGAGAGAGAUGAAUUCUAAAGACACUCAGGUUGAAAUGUUCCUCUGGUUCUUAUUGAGCGUAUUGAUCAGUGAUCCUGAGGGUUUCUGAGUUUCCUGUUCAGAGUCUCAUCAGAGCCUCAGACUGAGAGCUGAGCUCCUCUCAGCAGGGAGCGAACGCCACGCAGGAAUCCUGCUAUCAGGGAUCUACUACUCACCCUGCACAGGAAGCCCCGCCCACAGGCAGUUGAUUGACAGAUCAGUCCAUCAAUCAAAGCAAAAGCAACACGGAAAAACCAGAGAACAAGAGAAGGGAAAAUGGAACAACGGAGACAAAAUGAACGUACUUUAUUUCUUCAUUUUUCUUUAUUUUUACACUUAUUUCCUUUUUUUAAACAGAUUUAAUUUGACUUAUUCUUUUACUUCUCUUUAUAUUUAAACAUUGUUCCUGUAUUUUUUCAGAGAUUCAUUUAUUGAUGUAUUUCUUCCUGUUUAUAUUUCCACAUGUAUUUCCUUAUUUCUCAGCAGCUUUAUUGUAUUUUAGUUCUGUUGUGACGCAACAGCAGCUCCGUCCUGAGCGGCCUGAGCUCCACGGAGUGAGUUAAAACAGGACCAGCUCAGUCUGGAGCUGUUAGUGAACAAUGCUUCUAGUUUGUUGGUUUUCAACACAGAAAGUGUGUGUGUGUGUGUGUGUGUGUGUGUGUGUGUGUGUGUGUGUGUGUGUGUGUGUGUGUGUGUGUGUGUGUGUGUGUGUGUGUGUCUGUGUGUGUGUGUCUGUGUGUGUGUGUCUGU